rnacentral:lncRNA from 1 species
UCCAAAGAAUGGACCCCAGUGAACCCCGUGGUUGCUCUUUCAGCUUUGGGAUGAGUGUGUCUUCAUGUGGAAGAACAUGGAACAGUGACAGAGCAUAUCUGCAACCUCUAGUUGACAUUCAGAGGAACUGGGGCAACGUUUUCCCUAUUUUCCCCGGAUUAUUCUCUUUCUUUUGGGUGAAAUAGCAAAAUAUAUAUCUACACAUGAAAAAUAUUCUAAUAGUUCUUGGGUGUUGAUUUUCAUGCAAAAAGACCUCUUGGAAGGUCUGUUGCUGCCCGCCAUUAACCAGGUAGAAGAAAGAGAGCCUCACUCUGAUGGUUGUCACAUUCCUCUUUGAUUUUCUUUCAAUCAGGUUCCAAAAUCUCCUAACCUGGAAUAAAAUUCCUACGCAUAGGUAUCAUUAAGCACAUCUGACAUGAGGAUUGAACAUCAGGGCACAACGUAUUUGUAGCAAUCCCCCUCUUGUUUUAGCAGUACCCGGGAUGCUUUUAGUAGAGCCUGGGUAAUGUUUUCAUUGAGAAUCACUUCAGAACUUCUUCUGAGAGGCCGCAAAAGCAUCUCUGUGGAGCCCAGGGCAUUUCCCAUGCACAUAGGGCAUGGAAGUGAGCCACUGCAUGCUUUUUCAAGGUGGAAGAAAGGAAGCACAGAAGUUCAUCUCCAGAGAUGCCAUAAAACACCCUCUUGCUCUAUUUUUGGUAGUUUCAGAGGUCUGAGGAUCAAGUAUUAGCAAAGAGGUUUGAAGAUGAAGUACAAGAGUGCUUGCCUUACUUUAAGGCAUAGACUGCAUUGUUCUAAGGCCUCUAAUUUUACAGGAAAAGACCCUCACCAUUUCUGGAGAACUGACAAGGGUUGGUGGGUUUGGUUUUUUUUUGUGCAACAUGUGCUGAGAAUGGGAUUUUUCUCAAUUGCAUUUCUUUUAAUCUAAUACACAUGCAUCACUGCUUUCCAUGGAAGAAGAGCAUCCAAAAGUCCAAUUUUGGAAACCUGCCAGAAGAGACAGACAUUGGCAGAAAAUGAGCCUGCAGAAAAAAUGUUCUGUGGUGCAGCUGGUUGUAAUGUGCAUCCACAAGACUCUCGUGUGCAUCAGUGAGGCUGCAGCCCUGGAUGUCCUAAGGCUUGUUGCGCUCCUCCUGACCUUCCUCUACCUCAGCGAGGUGGUCACUGGCCUGUUGAGCUGCUCCCCAGCCUGUGACAGGUAGGUCCCCGUUGUGGCCAGCCCAGAGGCAGAAGCCCGGGUGCCAGAACUGUGCUCCCUCCGUCCCCCGUGGGGCCACCAGCUCGUUGGGCUCUGGCAAGGGAGAGUGGGACACCAGGACCCUGACCAGAACCCUUCUGUCUCGGGAUUCGCAGUGUCAAUCGCAGUGGCUUCCCAGAGCCUGCCAGUAUAUCAAAUUCCAGGUGCGGAGCAACUGGGGCAAGCCCGAGUGCACAUGCAUUUACCGAGUGCAGGUUCAUGGCAUGAUGGCAAGACAGAACUACCACCUGAGGCACGAGACAAGAGAGCUUCUGUAAACAAG